rnacentral:rRNA from 1 species
GACGAACGCUGGCGGCGUGCCUAAUACAUGCAAGUAGAACGCUGAAGGAGGAGCUUGCUUCUCUGGAUGAGUUGCGAACGGGUGAGUAACGCGUAGGUAACCUGCCUGGUAGCGGGGGAUAACUAUUGGAAACGAUAGCUAAUACCGCAUAAUAGUAGAUGUUGCAUGACAUUUGCUUAAAAGGUGCAAUUGCAUCACUACCAGAUGGACCUGCGUUGUAUUAGCUAGUUGGUGGGGUAACGGCUCACCAAGGCGACGAUACAUAGCCGGCCUGAGAGGGGUGACGGCCACACUGGGACGGGAACACGGCCCAGACUCCUACGGGGGGGAGCAGGAAGGAAGUGUCGGCAAAUGACGGAAGGCUGACCGAGCAACGCCGCGGGAGGGAAUAAGGGUUUCGGAUCGGAAAGCUCUGUUGUAAGGGAAGAACGAGUGUGAGAGUGGAAAGUUCACACUGUGACGGUAUCUUACCAGAAAGGGACGGCUAACUACGUG